GAUCCUGGCUCAGGAUGAACGCUGGCGGCGUGCUUAACACAUGCAAGUCGAGCGAGAAAUCAGUUAUUGACACUUCGGUUGAUUUAACUGGUGGAAAGCGGCGGACGGGUGAGUAACGCGUGGGAAACCUGCCCUUCACAGGGGGACUGCCGAGGGAAACUUCGAUUAAUACCUCAUAACGCAUCAUUGUCGCAUGGCAGCGAUGCCAAAGAUUUUUAUCGGUGAAGGAUGGUCCCGCGUCUGAUUAGCUGGUUGGUGAGGCAGCGGCUCACCCAAGGCGACGAUCAGUAGCCGGCCUGAGAGGGUGAACGGCCACAUUGGAACUGAGACACGGUCCAGACUCCUACGGGAGGCAGCAGUGGGGAAUAUUGCACAAUGGGCGCCAAGCCUGAUGCAGCAACGCCGCGUGAAGGAAGAAGGCCUUCGGGUCGUAAACUUCUGUCCAAAGGGAAGAAGAGUGACGGUACCUUUGGAGGAAGCCCCGGCUAACUACGUGCCAGCCGCCGC
rnacentral:rRNA from 1 species